rnacentral:rRNA from 1 species
UACGGAGGGUGCAAGCGUUGCUCGGAAUUAUUGGGCGUAAAGGGCAGGUAGGUGGUCCGAUUUGUCAGGGGUGAAAGCCUUGGGCUUAACUCAAGAAGUGCCCCUGAAACGGUCGGACUAGAGUGCUGGAGAGGGUCGUGGAAUUCCCGGUGUAGCGGUGAAAUGCGUAGAGAUGUGGAGGAACACCGAUGGCGAAGGCAGCCUCCUGGGCCAAUACUGACGCUCAUGCACGAAAGCGUGGGGAGCAAACAGG